rnacentral:misc_RNA from 1 species
GAACUGCGAUAAGUAAUGUGAAUUGCAGAAUUCAGUGAAUCAUCGAGUCUUUGAACGCACAUUGCGCCCCCUGGCAUUCCGGGGGGCAUGCCUGUCCGAGCGUCAUUGCUGCCCUUCAAGCCCGGCUUGUGUGUUGGGUCGUCGUCCCCCUCGGGGGACGGGCCCGAAAGGCAGCGGCGGCACCGUGUCCGGUCCUCGAGCGUAUGGGGCUUUGUCACCCGCUCGAUUAGGGCCAGCCGGGCGCCAGCCGGCGUCUCCAACCUUAUUUUUCUCAGGUUGACCUCGGAUCAGGUAGGGAUACCCGCUGAACUUAAGC